CUCCUCCCCCAGGCAUAACACACAGAUUGAACACCUUUGCUCUGGAGGUACUCUGCCAACGUAACGGUGAGAGUUGCAAUCCUCCGAUGUGUGUAGCAUCAACAGUUGUCAGUGCCCUCUGAGCAGCAUCUGCAGUCAAUGGACAGCUAGGAGGGAGCUCUCCAGGGCUCUCGGCGGGACUUCAGGGAUCCUCUGGUGGCUCAUUUCCUUUCACCAAGCUGGCAGACGUCCCCAGCCUGUGAAUUGACUGCGUCCUAUAUCAUCGUGGCCCAGCUGCUUGAGCUCAUCCUGUGGGAGGUUUACUGGCAUCUUUCCCUCCUGGGUUUUAGAAACCUGCAGAAGUAUCUGGAGAGAAAAACACUGAAAGACAGCUUUCCUCUGGGAACCCUAACUUGAAGUAUUGAAGCAGAACGACGUUAUAUGCCACUGUGCUAAAUGAUGUAGGGCCAAAGCUGAGAAAUUGUGGUUUGUUGGCAAAACUCUGCAAGACUCAGGAUAAAUUGUCCUGAAGGCGCUGGCAAUGGGAACAGAAGAUGAGUACGAGUGUGAGAAUGCCUGUGUGUCUUUCAGGACACUGAAAGGAAAGAGUUGUUAGCCCUAGGCAUUUUUCAGAAGGUGUUGAUGAAACUUCUAUGCUGUAAGAAGAGAAAGAAACUCCCACUAGCUGCGGUUAGCAACAAGACUCCUGAAGACAAUGAUAUGUGAAUGAAAAAGACAGGAACU